rnacentral:rRNA from 1 species
AUUGAACGCUGGCGGCAUGCCUUACACAUGCAAGUCGAACGGCAGCGCGGGGCAACCUGGCGGCGAGUGGCGAACGGGUGAGUAACAUAUCGGAACAUACCCUAGAGUGGGGAUAACGUAGCGAAAGUUACGCUAAUACCGCAUACGCACUAAGGUGGAAAGUGGGGGAUCUUCGGACCUCAUGCUCAUGGAGUGGCCGAUAUCUGAUUAGCUAGUUGGUGAGGUAAAGGCUCACCAAGGCGACGAUCAGUAGCUGGUUUGAGAGAACGACCAGCCACACCGGAACUGAGACACGGUCCAGACUCCUACGGGAGGCAGCAGUGGGGAAUUUUGGACAAUGGGGGCAACCCUGAUCCAGCAAUGCCGCGUGAGUGAAGAAGGCCUUCGGGUUGU